GGCCGGCCAAGUGGAGUGGCGGGUGGCGCACGGCGUCACGCCGUAACGUGGCUGCCGACGCUGCCGACGCGAGGGUGGCCCGGGAGGGGGGGCUACCGCACCUUCCACCUUCCAGGUCUAGCUCAGGAACCCGCCCCUGCGCCCGCCGUCCCCCGGCUUUCCCCAGCUCGUCCCGCCGCCAGCCCUCCCGGAUCAAUCAACUGCUCGGAUGCCCAAUUCUCAGUGCAACACUUGUGCACACUACCGUUGGAUUCACUCGGACAGAAAUUUAUUCUUACAACUAUGCUACUGCUUUAGCUUUGCAAAAGCGAAAAGAUGGCUUUGAAGAUGAAACAAGACGGUCUUCAUCAGUCAACUAUAGUUUCUCCUCACGGCAAACAAGAAAAGUUUUGAGGCUUUUGUAAUGAGUGAAACAUUAAUUGUUUCUAUACUAGAGGUUAAAUCAGAAUAGGUUGUAUUCUGAAUUCCUAACGAGAUGGGUAACUCAUUCACUUGUUGGAUAGAUAGUACAAUGGAACGACCAAGCAGCCAAAUGUCACGUCCAAUUGGUGGUUUGAAGCAUCAGCGCUUUUGAAACAGUUUCCACAACCAAUGGAAUGGAAUUGGGUGAGGGUAUUUCUUCCUUUCCUUUGGAGUACAAGCAGCAAUAGGAUUAUCACAAUACAUAUAAAUGAUCAUAGCAAACAAAUGAACAGGUAUUACACAAUGCAGCCAAUAUUUUCAGAUUUAUUCGUCAGUAACAUCACUCAA